rnacentral:tRNA from 1 species
GGGGAUCUAGCUCAGUGGCAUAAGCACCUGCCUUGCAAGCAGGUGGUCGUGAGUUCAAUCCCCA